rnacentral:lncRNA from 1 species
CCAGCAGGGGGUGACCACGUGGUGUUGGUGACAUUGACUGUCCUUUACACUUUAGGGCAGGUAGCAACAUCCCUGUUCCUACCCACUAGAUGUCAGUAGCAACCUCCAAUCCUUCCAGUUGUGACAACAGAAAUGCCAGGAGAUGUCAAAUAUUCCCCACAGGACAGCAGUGCCCCACUGAGAUCCACGGAGUUACAGUGACUUCAUUGCACAGCUGUUCCAUCAGGUCCCAGGCAGGUGACACCCACAGGCUAGCAAAGAAAAUGGUGGGAGAGGGGAGCUUGCAACUUAGCUGCGACGAAAUGAGUCAUCUGGGACUCUUCCUGCAGAUACUACCCCAUGACAGGACCUGGGAGAGCAAAAGCAAAGCCUUGGAAUCCCUGUGAGUUAUCCAGGAUCUCACGAAAUGCCGGACAGACGCAACCUAAUAAAGAAAAGAAGACAUACUUUGGCCCACAGUUUAAGGAUUUGGGGAUACCACCACCGUGGCUGCAGUAGCUUGAGAUAGUUAGCCAAGCACUGCAUCUGCAGCCGGGAAGCAGAGAGAUGGACGCCUGUGCUCAGCCUGCUUUGCUUUGCCUGGUCCAGGACCGCAGCUGAUCUCAAGCACCCCUACAGUUAGGGCAGGCUUCCAAGUGUAACUGGCUUGACCCACGCUACCAUCUCGUCAGCAAGAACGCACGCAGGACACUCGGAUCCGUCUGCAGUAAAGCUUUAAUGAAUCUCAAGAGAUAGAUGAUCAGCUUCAGGAGAGGAGACCCAGAGAGCAGAAAACCCUUCCCUUAUAUAGGCUGCGAAGUAAGUUUGGAGACGUGCACUAGCCGGAUUGGCUGCCCACCAUCAGCCAGAUGACGCCAUGGGAGAGGCAGGGCUCAGGUAAUGGAAAGAUACCCUGACGCCUGCGCACACUACUUGUUUUUCACCACGAGCAACAGAUGUCAGCGCCAUUUUGUAAUGGCGACCGUGAGGGCGGCUCCUCACACUGGCUAGUUUUGUGUCAACUUGACACAGCUGGAGUUAUCACAGAAAAAGGAGCUUCAGUUGAGGAAAUGCCUCCACGAGAUCCAGCUGUGGGGUAUUUUCUCAAUUAGUGAUCAAGGGGGAAAGGCUCCUUGUGGGCGGGACCAUCGCUGGGCUGGUAGUCUUGGUUCUAUAAGAGAGCAGGCUGAGCAAGCCAGGGGAAGCAAGCCAG